UACGAAGGGGCUAGCGUUGUUCGGAAUCACUGGGCGUAAAGCGCACGUAGGCGGAUCUUUAAGUCAGGGGUGAAAUCCCGAGGCUCAACCUCGGAACUGCCUUUGAUACUGGGGAUCUCGAGUCCGGGAGAGGUGAGUGGAACUGCGAGUGUAGAGGUGAAAUUCGUAGAUAUUCGCAAGAACACCAGUGGCGAAGGCGGACUCACUGGCCCGGAACUGACGCUGAGGUGCGAAAGCGUGGG
rnacentral:rRNA from 1 species